GACGAACGCUGGCGGCGUGCCUAAUACAUGCAAGUCGAACGGAGCGGCGGACGGGUGAGUAAUGCCUAGGAAUCUGCCUGGUAGUGGGGGAUAACGUCCGGCAACGGGCGCUAAUACCGCAUACUAUCAGAUGAGACUAGGUAGGAUUGGAUAGGUGGUGGGGUAAAGGCCUACAAAGGCGACGAUCCGUAACUGGUCUGAGAGGAUGAUCAGUCACACUGGAACUGAGACACGGCCCAGACUCCGACGUGAGGCAGCAGUGGGGAAUAUUGGACAAUGGGCGAAAUCCUGAGCCAGCCAUGCCGCGUGUGUGAAGAAGGUCUUCGGAUUGUAAAGCACUUUAAGUUGGGAGGCGUUACCAACAGAAUAAGCACCGGCUAACUUCGUGCCAGCAGCCGCGGUAAUUC
rnacentral:rRNA from 1 species